GCCCAGGUAGCUCAGUCGGUAGAGCAGAGGACUGAAAAUCCUCGUGUCGGCGGUUCGAUUCCGUCCCUGGGCA
rfam:Geobacter sp. FRC-32, complete genome.